UGUGUCUGGUUUCAGCCGGGAAUGAGAUUUUAUUGCUGCGCUUUCAGCUUUCGAGCCUUGAGGAAGAACCACACAUGAGAGCAGCAGUUGUGCCACUGUUUUUGUGCCACACAACACCUACCUCAAUUAGAAACCACCUGACCCAACUCUCUCUAAGAAUUACAUGACAAAAAUGGCAUUAGAGGACGACAGAAACAAAUCGUUGAUAUGCUCUGUAAUGUUGUCUGAUAGACGUGAAGUUUAUGAACCUCUUUAGCAAAUGGAUUUGCAAACAACAUCUGGGAGAGAAGAAUUUCAUCAAGGUGGGUGAUCAUUUACAUUGCUUACAGGAAUGUGGGUAAAUUUAUAGGACUUCUCUUAUUUUAUUGCAUUUUCCUUUUGAAUAAAUCAAAAUAAUGAUUUAAAAAUCCACAUAUGAUAAAAGAAGCUGGGGAAUCUGUUUGAUUCCCUGGGGCAUAUAGGCAGGGAAAGAGUUAUAACAAUGUUUGGGAUAAGCAUGUCUGUGAAACAGAUGUUAAUGUGUUAGAAUUCAUUGAUUAAAAGCCUUCAGAGAUGGCAAGGUCAUGGGUAAAAAUGAUUACCUUGAGGAGGUACAUAGUGCGUCCUUCAAAUGUGGUUCCA